rnacentral:rRNA from 1 species
GAUGAACGCUAGCUACAGGCUUAACACAUGCAAGUCGAGGGAUAACGAUAUUGGAAGCUUGCUUCCGAUAGGCGUCGACCGGCGCACGGGUGAGUAACGCGUAUCCAACCUGCCCAUCACUUGGGGAUAACCUUGCGAAAGUAAGACUAAUACCCAAUGAUAUCUCUAGAAGACAUCUGAAAGGGAUUAAAGAUUUAUCGGUGAUGGAUGGGGAUGCGUCUGAUUAGCUUGUUGGCGGGGUAACGGCCCACCAAGGCGACGAUCAGUAGGGGUUCUGAGAGGAAGGUCCCCCACAUUGGAACUGAGACACGGUCCAAACUCCUACGGGAGGCAGCAGUGAGGAAUAUUGGUCAAUGGGCGAGAGCCUGAACCAGCCAAGUAGCGUGCAGGAUGACGGCCCUAUGGGUUGUAGACUGCUUUUAUAAGGGAAUAAAGUGGGAGUCGUGACUCCUUUUGCAUGUACCUUAUGAAUAAGGACCGGCUAAUUCCGUGCCAGCCGCCGCGGUAA